rnacentral:rRNA from 1 species
UGGGGAAUUUUGGACAAUGGGCGAAAGCCUGAUCCAGCAAUGCCGCGUGUGUGAAGAAGGCCUUCGGGUUGUAAAGCACUUUUGUCCGGAAAGAAAUCCUUGGCUCUAAUACAGUCGGGGGAUGACGGUACCGGAAGAAUAAGCACCGGCUAACUACGUGCCAGCAGCCGCGGUAAUACGUAGGGUGCAAGCGUUAAUCGGAAUUACUGGGCGUAAAGCGUGCGCAGGCGGUUUGCUAAGACCGAUGUGAAAUCCCCGGGCUCAACCUGGGAACUGCAUUGGUGACUGGCAGGCUAGAGUAUGGCAGAGGGGGGUAGAAUUCCACGUGUAGCAGUGAAAUGCGUAGAGAUGUGGAGGAAUACCGAUGGCGAAGGCAGCCCCCUGGGCCAAUACUGACGCUCAUGCACGAAAGCGUGGGGAGCGAACAGGAUUAGAUACCCUGGUAGUCCACGCCAUAAACGAUGUCAACUAGUUGUUGGGGAUUCAUUCCUUAGUAACGUAGCUAACGCGUGAAGUUGACCGCCUGGGGAGUACGGUCGCAAGAUUAAAACUCAAAGGAAUUGACGGGGUCAUAGCUGUUUCCU